AGCCCCGAGGUGAUUUUCAUGUUGAAUUGCAAGUUCAAAGGAGCAGUCUAAG
rnacentral:tRNA from 1 species